rnacentral:lncRNA from 1 species
CCAAACAUUUCCAUACCUCUUAAUGAACAUCAUACAAGACGAUUAUAAUAUUAAGCUCAAAGUGUAUAUAAGCCAUUUUCGCAUGGCUAUCCAAAUUUAUACAAAACCAAAGGGUCCAUGACCAACAACAAAAAGGGUAGUCCUAUACAUGCCAUUUCAAAGUUCAACCAAAAGUGUACCAAAAAGGGGCUUUGAUAGUGUGGGAGACUUCGACUUCAAUAAUCCCGAGUCCGAUAGCUGACGAACCCAAAAUCUAUAAAACAGAGAAUCAAAGAAACGGAGUAAGCAUUUAAUGCUUAGUAAGUUUGAGCCAUGAAAUUAGACACAACCAAAGUAUAGCAAUCAUAUGGCUAAACGGAUAAUCUCAUAUGCACAAAUUCUCAAUAUCAUACUUACUUCACA